UGUGCUGGCCAGCUCUGGCAAGUGCACGUCGGUGACUUUCAUCCAAUACCCGUGAACCUUUGGCCUCUGCUCGCUUCGGCCGGCAGAGGAAUUUACACACACUCGAAUGUAAUGAAAUUUAUUGUCGUGCGCAAGCACUAAUGUACAACUUUCAACAACGGAUCUCUUGGCUCUCGCAUCGAUGAAGAACGCAGCGAAAUGCGAUAAGUAAUGUGAAUUGCAGAAUUCAGUGAAUCAUCGAAUCUUUGAACGCACCUUGCACCCUUUGGCAUUCCGAAGGGUAUGCUCGUUUGAGUGUCAUUGUACUCUCACACUCCCGAUCGUUUGGAUUGGGAGGGUGGACUUGGGUGUUGCUGCUUUACCGUGGCUCACCUCAAAUGGAUUCGUGCAACUCUUGGUUGGACAUAGUACGGCGUGAUAAGUGUCUUCGCCGGCACCUCACUAGAGGGUGGCUGAUCAGGAGCUCUGUGCUUCAAACCGUCCUCGGACAAUGACUG
rnacentral:rRNA from 1 species